UGGGGAAUCUUGGACAAUGGGGGCAACCCUGAUCCAGCCAUGCCGCGUGAGUGAUGAAGGCCUUAGGGUCGUAAAGCUCUUUCGCCUGUGAAGAUAAUGACGGUAGCAGGUAAAGAAACCCCGGCUAACUCCGUGCCAGCAGCCGCGGUAAUACGGAGGGGGUUAGCGUUGUUCGGAAUUACUGGGCGUAAAGCGCACGUAGGCGGACCAGAAAGUUGGGGGUGAAAUCCCGGGGGCUCAACCCCGGAACUGCCUCCAAAACUAUUGGUCUAGAGUUCGAGAGAGGUGAGUGGAAUUCCAAGUGUAGAGGUGAAAUUCGUAGAUAUUUGGAGGAACACCAGUGGCGAAGGCGGCUCACUGGCUCGAUACUGACGCUGAGGUGCGAAAGUGUGGGGAGCAAAACAGGAUUAGAUACCCCUGGUAGUCCACACCGUAAAACGAUGAAUGCCAGUCGUCGGGUAGCAUGCUAUUCGGUGACACACCUAACGGAUUAAGCAUUCCGCCUGGGGAG
rnacentral:rRNA from 1 species